GACGAGGAAGAAGAAAUAACACCUCAUUUUUGUCUUUUUUCUUUCUUUUUUUUUUUUUCUGCUUUACGUUGAAAACCUUGUCACGUUAACAAAUCUCACGACUAACUGAAUAUUUGUAUUAUAUUUAUCAGUUAUGUAGUCACAUAGAGUGGGUGUUCUCUUUCUCAUUCCUCUCUUCAAUGGACAGAUAACAUUAUUAUCUGUCUGAAACUUCCGGACACUUUAUCAUUUUCACGAUCCUCUUAAAUUUUCUAGUGUAAUAUUUUUUCUUUUUUUUUUUUCUCUUUUUUUAUUUUCAAAACAGGGAAAGAUCGUACGAAUUACAUUAUAUAUAAUACAAACAACAUUUAUUGUCAUGCGUAUAUACAUAAAAGUGGAUAAUUCAUCUUGGGCAAAUUUGAAAGAGAUUCCAUUUCGCACAUACAUAACAGUUCCUCCGUUAAUCUUACAAAAUAAAAGAAAUAAUCAGAGACAGACAGUCAAACAUUGUCAUUAUCAGAGACAGAAAGUCAGAUAGUCAGGCUCAUUUUUUUAUUUAUUUUUUUUUCUUUUCUUUUUUUUUUCUUUUCUUUUUUUUUUCUUUUUCUUUUUUUUUUUUUUUUUUUUUUUUACAGGCAACAGGAGUAUCAAGAAUUUUGUAUCAAAACGAAGGAGAGGGAGCCUUUUUACUGGAAGAAAAUAAGACUGAUCACACAUUGGAGCUAUCGUUAUUGUCAUAAAAAUGUUUCUUUUUUCGUUUUGUUUUUAUGUACACCACAGCACGAAUCGUCGUUACUUUCGUGCAUUAUGUUCUCCUAAGAAAGAAAGGAAAAAAAAAAAAAAAAAAAAAAACAGAAACAGAAAAAAGAAAUCACGUAAGAAACCUGUGUUAGAUUCUCUUGAACUACAAAUAUGUUUUAACAAAAACCAAUGAAAAUUUUUUAUCCGUUAAUAAUCUUCAAUAAGACGACGUCAUUGCAAAGAGGAGAACGACGACCGUCAGAUGAAGCUGAUGAACCGAUCGAAAAUAUCGCGUGCUCGUAGCAUCGCUCUGUGCGUCCAGUUGGGUCGGUGCGGAAUGUGCGGGCGCAGGUGCCGGCGCUGGAUAAGGGGAAGAAGAAGACGAAGAGGAUGAGGAGGAGGAGGAGGAGGAGGAGGUAGAGGAGGAUAAAACUUUAGAAUUCUUUGUGAGGACGACACUUGGCAACGGACGUUUGAUGUUUAUUCCUUGAAACUCACCGUUGUCCUUGUACCACGUGUUCGAGGCCUUAGGCGAAGAUUCGACGUAACAUUGCAGAAUGACGUUGCUAUUCGUCGGUGCAGCUACCAAUUGAUUCGUCACUUUGAUCAAGGGCUUAACUAUUUUAAAGGAAAAUCGCGGGAAUCGCUGGUACGAUGGAGAUACCGGCCUGGUAUACACUCUCGCGACGCAAUGUACACACUGAAUAUUGCAAUCGGAUAGGCGAAGAGUCGAUGGGCUUGGCAGAGAGGAAAUAUAUGUAAAGUCAACAUCCAUCACUCACUGUUAGAAAGGCUAAUCGGAUGGCUGCUUUUCUGCGGGACAUCGUGAACCUACUGGAGUCGGCCUUUUCAUCGCUACUCGAAAAAGUCUCGACGAUGAUGACUACAUGGAAAAUAUAUUGUCGUUGCAAAUCUAUCACGUCGUUGGCUUGUCCCCUUUUUAUUUAUAUAUAUAUAUAUUUUUUUUCUUCUUUUUUCUUUUUUUUCAUGAAAACCGAAUAGGAAAUUUUUAUCGUAAAAAAAAAAAAAAGAAAAAAAAAAAAAAAAGAAAUAGCCGUCGUCGUAUCGCGAAAUAAAAAGGAGAUACAGUUUAUUAAUGAUUCGAACGAUUAGAUCCCGUAUGAACGGAUAUUAAUAUUUUUUAUUUAUUCAUUUAUUUAUUUAUUAACUUUUUUUCUCACACAUUCGCGCGCGCGAUAAUAAACGAAAAGCAUGUAGGGUCUGUUAAUACGUUAUAGAGUUAAUUCACAAUCGGUAGGUGAAAUGCCGAUAAAGAUUUUUAAUUUAAUAACGAGACACAGUCAGCUGGGAACGUAUUACUUUUUCCAUAUAAUAAUAAUAAUAUCGUAUGUAAUUGGUAAACAAUGUGUUUAACAUUCUCUCACUUUCUUCCUUCCUUCCUUCCUUUUUUUCUUUUAGUAAAUUUGUUUGAUCUUGUAAAGCAUGUAUACGUCAUUCAUAAUCAACAUAUACCUUGUAUCUCUAUAUACAGUUGUAUAUGGACGGAUAAAGGGAAAGUAAGAGAAGAUACCUCGUUUAACACCUAACUCGCUUCUCAGAGUAAUUUCACGUCCGUCCUCCCUUCGCCAGGUGACCGUAGGUUUAGGUGUUCCUGUGGCACGACAUCGUAAUCGCAGAUCGUUGCUUUCUUUAGUCGUUAAAAGGUCGGCCGAGUCGUCGAGAUCCAUGAUAUCAGGUGGUAUCACUACUUUCAUGUAGCCCGUCUGUAUAACGUUCGUUACUGAUUGACUAUCCCAUACUACUACUAUUACUACUACUAUUACUACUAUUUAUAUAUGAUAGCUAGUAAAAGGGUCUGUCUACUAUCCUACGUGUCUACUCUUCUUCCCUCUCAUAUUAUACAUACAUUCGUUCUAUUCAAACUCGACUCUUGCGAUUCCUCGGUCGAGAUUUACCAUUAAGUUCGGUUUUAGAGUCGAAGAGAAAGCAGCUAAGUCUGAAUAUAAAUAUAAUAGGACUGGUAAAGGAUCUAGCAGAAUU